CAUAGAUUCCCUACAACUCAGCAUUAAUAACUGGACAUGUUCCACACCCUCGUGCAAAACCCAAUAGCCAUUGGCUAUUGCUAUCCCAUAUGAACCCACCAGAGUAAGCCAAGCCCGCAGCAGCCCUUAGUGCACCAUUUGCGUUCACUUUAUGCCAUCCACCUAGAAGCUUCUCCCGUCUAAUUAUUCGAUUUGUUUGCUGACCUCUACUAUCUUAUAGCUGGUUUACAAAUGUCAAGGUAAGUCGCGCCUCAUCCCGCAUUCUAAAACUUUUCUCAAUCACCCUUUCAGCAUCAACAUAGUUGGGAUCGAAUCCUCCUCAACCAAAUAUUCCAACAAACAAAACCAAAGAGCAAAAUACCCAUUCCUUGAUCUCCAUUGACAAAAUCUCAGCUAAGUACCAGUCCACACCACAGUGAUUUAGUCGCAAAAUAUUGGUGUAGCACAUGGUUGAUAUCUUUUAUAACAUUCCUACAAAAUUAGUAAACCCAUGCUUUUGUCUAUCAUAUCAGGAUAUUGCCCCUCCUGGGAGACUACCACGUUACCUUCGAAAAACUAGAUCUUCAAACCAUCAUUCCAUGAAGCAAGUUCUCCCACUUGCUUAGUAUGAGCCAGCCACGUAUACUUAAAAGAUAGCUUGGCACCACCCACAUCCUCCAACUCCAUGUCGUCCCCAUUCUGAACCUCUUUAAACUUCACCCUUUUGGUGGCUUGUUGAAUCUCUGGCAGCAUUGGAGAGCUCGGCCGUUCCAAGCUAGCCAGAAGAGGGAAAGACUUCGACAUCAUUUUUUUUAUAUCUUCUCUUAUUAAUUUUCUAGGUGUUUAUUUAUGCUUUAAUUAAUGAAAAAUUUCAUCAUUUUCUUAUGGGCCAAACAGGCCCAGAAGAAUUUGUGCACUGAAAUAUGAAAGCUCUUAUGUGUCUUGAUUACGAAUUUGCCACGUCUUAAAACCCUGACAGUUUCCGGGUACUAAAAUCUCGUUACUCUUGAUCAUAACCGCCGCCGCCAUUAUUCUUCCUCUCAAUCCUUGAUUCAAAAAUUGCAGCCCUUCUUCAAUGGCGAAGAACAAAAGAGAAAGAAACCAAAAUUCGCAACCUUUUCUGGCAGAUGGCGAUUCCGUUGCCUCCUCAAAGAAACGCUCCAAAGCUCCUAAACACCAUCAAAAGCAAGACAAAUGCAGAUGCUUUCGACGGGGAUAAGCUCGAAAAUCUUGAAAGAGGCGCUUCUUCAGCAGAAGGAAAUAGAAGAUGAAGCCUCAGGAGGGAACGUUAGGAACGCAUUUGGUUCGGUUGAAGAAGAGCAUAAUAAGCACGAAGAAGAAAAAGAAGAGGAUAUUGACAAUUUUGGUGGAUUUUUUGAGGCCCAAAGUCAAUUUGGCAACUACGAAGUAAGUUUAUUUUAUGUGAUCAUAUAUUUUUUCAGGUUGCUUUUUGAUGUUAAAUUGUUAGAGAUGAUCCUUUUGUGGGAAAGAUGGGUGAUUUUGUGACAAUUUAACUAUUUUCUCAUUUUUAAUCUAAUUGUAGCAUGAUUUUUCUGUUGA